CUACGGGUCGCUGCAGUGGGGAAUCUUGUGCAAUGGGCGAAAGCCUGACACAGCAACGCCGCGUGCGGGAAGAAGGCCUUCGGGUCGUAAACCGCUUUCAGCAGGAACGAAAAUGACGGUACCUGCAGAAGAAGGUGCGGCCAACUACGUGCCAGCAGCCGCGGUGACACGUAGGCACCAAGCGUUGUCCGGAUUUAUUGGGCGUAAAGAGCUCGUAGGCGGUUCAGCAAGUCGGGUGUGAAAACUAUGGGCUUAACCCAUAGCCUGCAUCCGAAACUGCUGUGACUAGAGUUCGGUAGGGGAGAGGGGAAUUCCUAGUGUAGCGGUGAAAUGCGCAGAUAUUAGGAGGAACACCGAUGGCGAAGGCACCUCUCUGGGCCGAUACUGACGCUGAGGAGCGAAAGCGUGGGUAGCAAACAGGAUUAGAUACCCCGGUAGUC
rnacentral:rRNA from 1 species